rnacentral:rRNA from 1 species
UACGUAGGGAGCAAGCGUUAUCCGGAUUUACUGGGUGUAAAGGGCGUGUAGGCGGGCAUGCAAGCCAGAAGUGAAAUCUGGGGGCUUAACCCCCAAACUGCUUUUGGAACUGCGUGUCUUGAGUGAAGUAGAGGCAGGCGGAAUUCCUAGUGUAGCGGUGAAAUGCGUAGAUAUUAGGAGGAACACCAGUGGCGAAGGCGGCUUACUGGACGGAAACUGACGUUGAGGCUCGAAAGCGUGGGGAGCAAACAGG